UUUGUUUCUAAUUUGAAUCCUCUUACUCAUAGACUGGGUAAACACUGAAUAAUCGUCUUAAAGUCUGUUUUUAAAUGUUCUUCCAUAUUAUAGGAUCUCUAUGAAGCACCAGAAUUAUCAGUGAAGAAUAUAUUAAAUGGCUCACGGGCUACUGUAAAGCAUAUUUCUAUGGCUUGAGAGUAAAACUGCUAGAACCAGUUCCUGUUUCUACAACAAGGUGUUCCUUUAGAGUCAAUGAGAACACACAAAACCUACAAAUUCAUGCAGGGGACAUCCUGAAGUUCUUGAAAAAGAAGAAACCUGAAGAUGCCUUCUGUGUUGUGGGAAUAACAAUGAUUGAUCUUUACCCAAGAGACUCGUGGAAUUUUGUCUUUGGACAGGCCUCUUUGACAGAUGGCACUGGUGAGGUGGAUUGAUGAUGAAUCUUCUGGCACACCUGGAGCAACUCCAGAACACAGUCGUGAGGAUAAUGGGAAUUUAGUGACACCCGUGGAAGGAAGCCUUUAAGGAAUGGAAAGAGUGGAUAAUAAAAUGCCUGACUGUUCUCCAAAAAUGAGGACCUUCAAAUAGGAGUGAUUGAAAUAAAUGACUACUUGCAUGUUAUGCUUUCAUUUGGGUGGAAUACUUCAUCAGAAUAAACUAUUGAUCUUGUGCUGUGUCAAAGUAACAGACUAGAACCUUCUUUCAAGUACUUGAAUUGAAAUGAAACUCAUUUUGAAUAAUAAAAAC
rnacentral:lncRNA from 1 species